UGAUAACGCGCCGCGGCGCGACGACUGCGUGCGUGCGGCACAGGGCGGCCGCGUGAUACCUGCCAAAAAAAACAAAGAAGGAAAGAGUCGUGCACCUCUGCGCCACUUCCCGUACAACCGACCCGUUGUUUCGUCCAUUCGGACAAGCAGUAAACGAGCACCGGUUCGAGAGCUAUCGCUAAUCGCGAGGGCGGCUAUUGAUCGGUACAAUUGGCGCUCGGCGAGCGUACAAGCGACGCACUAUGAGGCUUCGGAGGCGAGGAUAAUGACACUGCAACGAAGACGUGCAAGGAAAUCCAGAGAGUUAAUUAGGAAGUACCACCGUAUCAGUCGACGCGGUCGACCCGCUCUCCCCGCAGAAGACGGCGAGGAAGGAUACCUGAUGCAAGAUGCACGAGGCGAGAUCGGGCCGGGGAGAGGAGUAUGGUUGGGCUGUAUCUUAUGUACAAGAGUCUUAAUGUACACAUUCGCGCGUCUUAAAGGCGAAAGUUAGUUAUCCGAAGGUGCGCCAACUUUCGGCACGAAGAGCGUCUGCAAACGCGCUGCUCGGCGCCGCGUGAUCCGUAAAGUUCGCGCUUAUACCGAGAUAAUUCGCUGGGUACACCUUUUUCUAUUCAAUAGCGAGGCGAGGCAGGUGGAGGAGAGCGUACGGGGUUACUCGAGUUACUUACACGAUUAUGAAUUUAACUUGAAUGUUAUAAAUUUCGUUUCCCUCGCGACUGCUCAUAAAUUCUCGCGAUCAAUCAGACCGGCACGGCGCCGGGAAAGACCGUAUUAAAUUUUACGUUGAUUAAAGACACUUUACACGAGUCGGUGCUGGAUAGACGCGAGACGUUUUGUAGCACGAAUUUGUUGGCGUUCUCUCUGGUUUUUUUUUAUUAGCUUUCUCGAACGCAAAUUUUCCGCCGAGUGUAAACAGCUUAAACGAAUAAAGCACACUGUACUUUUCUUUCCGCGUCGCCAGUCGUUACGUCGUAUAUCAAUUUCCCGCGAAAGCACUCGAAACAGAUUUUCACUUAAUGGCACACGCCCGGCACUCAUAGCAAUAAAGAGUUGAACGGUACGCAACCUCUAUUAUGCUAAAGUGCGAGCAGUUGCAAAACUCUCUUUUAACUGUCGCCUCGCCAAGUGUCGCAACGCGCACCGAAGAACCAUAUUUCUCCAAACGACGGGAAACUGUAUGGUCGACGAUGCAAAGGUCGGAAAAGAAUCAGAAAAACUCAUCUCCUCUUCGGCACCUUUGAAUAAUUUCACUAUUAACUUAAUGCCCGAUACGCGACUCGGCUGCGACUAAAAGUUGCAUCGCUCUCGUCCGUCGCGCCAUUUAUUCACAAAUAUGUAAACGAACAAAGAUACGCGGAAAUAUUGAAUCUCGCGUGCAUUCGCUUCGCGCGGGGAAAAAAAUGGGACAUUUUAUCUCGUCGAAAACAUAAAAAGUAUAAUACGUACGUGUUUUUCACGGGAUAGUAAUUUACUUAGCAGUCGCAAAGUCAGGAUCCGGAGCGAACGGGGCGACGUAUCGCGCAGGGGAUUCGAUGUUAAAGUUUAAUAAUCGAGAAAUGUUGGUCAUAUUCGAGCGGCCCUUUGGCAAAAAUCGCGUGGCUGCGCAGCUCGCGAACUCCGCAGUUUUAAUUUCACUUUGUCGAGAUAGAAGCGGAUAGUAUCGGCGAAAAAAGAAAUGAGCAGUCGCCCGUUUACCAACCCGCAUAUAGGCACCGCCGACGAGAUGGGUAUAUACACGGAUCUAUUAUUCAUGCAUGAAUUUGAAACGCACGUUACACCAAAUUGGUACCCUAAAGGGCUAACGUAGCGUACUGAAUAUUACAGGCGGUUUUUAACAUGGAAAUCAAUUCCGCGUAUCAGAUUCAUACAUAAUAGAUGUAAAGGAGUUGUUUCACGGAAAAAAACCUAUUCCACCGGGAAGUUUAUGCUGAAAAGCCGGGCGCGGGGUGAUGCAGCCUGAUGAAAGGAUCAACGGGGUCGAUGGGUAUCGGAUGCAUUAGCGUGUCAUUAUAUUACCCCGUGUACAAAGGCGGAAUAAACAUUAUCAUUACCUCCCCGG